rnacentral:rRNA from 1 species
UGAGGAACAUGACCUUCGGCGGGGGAUAGCCGGCCCAACGGCCGGGUAAUACCGCGUACGACCACAUGGGGACAUCCCUGAGUGGUGAAAGCAGCAAUGCGCCGAUGGAGUGCCUCGCGGCCUAUCAGCUAGUUGGUGAGGUAACGGCUCACCAAGGCGACGACGGGUAGCUGGUCUGAGAGGAUGGCCAGCCACAUUGGGACUGAGACACGGCCCAGACU